AUAAUAUGACACUGAAGCUAAGAACUGGUGUGCUGGACAGUAAGAUUAGUCAGCUGAUCCUCACUAUGAGAUUAACAUUUAACCCAGUUGACAGAAGCAGACCUGGGACACAUAAAUAUUGAUGGCUGGGUAAGAGAAGCCAGAGAGAAGAACAGCAAAUGAAAUAACGGCUUUAGGGAUCCUGUGAUGUCCUUAGUUUUUGCUGUCUGACUUCUGCUUCUAUUACUGCAUGGAAAAUCUUCUUAUGUGGGCAACAAUGACCUUCUAGGUGCCAAACCCAAGUCAAAGAAACAGAUUAGGUGCUUAUCACACCUGACUUUACUAGAUGUCAAGCAUCCUGAAAGGAGGAACCAUGCCUUGCACAGAGUUUUGCAAAAAGGAAGCAUGCAGUCUCUCUUGCAGUGUGUGCAUACGGUUACAAAAAGAUGGGAGGAGGAAAUAUUUGAUUAAACUCUGAAUAUAAUCCUUAUUCUGCUGACAAGAUUGUAAGGUUCAUAGAGUUGCUAACCAAGCAGCAGCCACCAAAGCAUGUCAUCAUGGCACUUGAAACACCAGGGAGAGAAUAUUCUGGGGAAAAAAAAAUAACAGGUC